GAGAGACCGGUUCCCGAGAGCAACACUUUCGGGACUUAGCCAAAUUUCGGCUUCUCUCGCUGGGCCAACGUUCGGGAAUCGGUCCCUGCCUGCCAGGGACCGGUCUCAACAGAGACCCCCGCAGCCCAGCCCGAUGGGACCGGUCCCUCCCUGCCAGGGACCGGUCCCCGAGAGCAUUUCUGCUCCAGUGCAGCUUUUGCACUGGUGCUCUCGCGGACACCUCCUCAAUGCACCUCAUGCAUUGCGGUCACCUUCGGACUUUCCGAAGCUCGUACGCUCGACAAUCAGUCGAUUCUUGACGAAGUCUAAUCCUCGGGUUUCGAGAAUUCACUUCCCUUACAUACUCACUGCAAAGUUAUACUGUUAGGGUGCAACUGAGUAGUCUAAUGUUGUUCCGAUUUUCGUUCUUGUGAACGUUGACAUCGAUUCAUUCCAAAUUCACACUCUCGGGGCAUAAUAGAGCAUCUCGGGGCAUAAUAGAGCAAUAUAAUAAGGUUUUACUCUUUGUUCGAUAGAAUGAGAAAAAGUACUCCUUACAAAGUUAUACUGUUAAGGCGCUACUGAAUAGUCUAAUGUUGUUCCGGUUUUGAUUCUUGUGAAAGUUGACAUCGAUUUGUUCCAAAUUUACACUCUCGGGGCAUAAUAGACCAAUAUAAUUAGGUUUACUCCUUGUUCGAUGGAAUGAGAAAAAGUACUCGUUGCAAAGUUAUACUGUUAGGGCGCAACUGAGUAGUCUAAUGUUGUUCCGAUUUUUGUUCUUCUGAACGUUGACAUCGAUUUGUUUCAANGUUAAUUAAGAGAAACCAUCUCUCUUUCUCUCUAGUAUCUCCGUUUCUCUCUCUCUCUCUUUUCUUCGAACGAGAGGUUCGGAGAGAGCCAAACCCGUGGUUUCUCUUUUCUCACGUUCAAGUGUAUAUAUAUAUAUAUAUAUAUCUCUCUCUCUCUCUCUCUCUCUCUCUCUCUCUCGUCCCGACGACACGAGAUCCCUCGUGCCUCCGGAGGCACGAGGACUCGGCAAAAGCUACUACCUCAAAGGCUUAGUUGCUAGCCGAGGCAAUUUGAACUAGAUCGCAUAAACUUCAAAGAUCUUUUAUUAAAAACACUAAAAAGCUAUAGUAAAUGGAUCGUUAGCUUUCCUAAGUUUUAGUUAUUAAAAAUUGCCAACUUUUAUUUUUAGGAUAUUUUUCACCACUAUAUCGUGAUUUUAAAAGCUAGUCUUUAUAACUAGAACAAUAUCUAUCAUAUUUCUGAGGAGAAAAUUGGAAUUGCUUGGUGGUGUAGCAAGCUUGGUGGAGAAGAAGGCUUGGAGUUGAAGCUUCAUCUUCAUCUUCUCCUUCCUUGGUCUAAGAGGAAACUUGAGAGGUUUUCUGACGCGCUGGCGAAGUCGGUUCGGCGAUACGACGAGGUUACGCGAAGAUAUUGAAGAAAAGGCCGAUUUCGGUACAGAUUGCCGCAGCUCGUGGCGUAAGCUCCCAAAAAUCACGAAACCGGAAUCGUAGCAUCGUGACAUCACCUAAAGUCUUGGAGCUAAAAAAGUCGGGGGCACGAAGGGUCGCGUGGAGCUCUCGGUGGGUUUGACCUCGCUACAAAUGAGAAAAUCUCAUUUAUGUGGAUUUAAGUAUCGUAAAAUGGAAAAUCACGCAUUUUAAUGAAAAAUGCAUUAUUUGUGAAUUUUAAAAUGCUUGAAAUGCUUAUGUUAUAUACAAUGCAUUUUCGGACCUCUAUGUAGUAGAGAGCUUGCAUGUAAGACUUAUGCAUGGGUUUAGCAUUCUAAUUGGGACUUGGAAUCAUGCUUCAUAUAGUAGACAUGACAAAUGUGUAAUAUGCCUUGGACAUAAAUCUCAUUUGGACAUAAGAGAAUACAUUAGGCCAUAAAGUGGUUUUGGACUUGAAUAACUUGUGAGUUAGGGAGCUAAUGUCGUAAUGCGACAUCGGGCUUGAGCUAUGAAUGAGCCUAGCAAAGUAAUGCCAUAGAGAGGCAUUAGGCUUGAAUGAUAUGUGAAUUGUAUAUGCAUGUUAAUAGUAUGAGAAUUAUGCUAAGUUGGUAGUUGCAUUGGAAAGUGUAUGCAUGUAGCAUUAUGAGAACUAUGCUAUGUUGAUAGUUGUAUACGGAUGCAUUGAAACCAUAUGCUAGUGGAUAGAUGCAUGUUAAUAUUUAUAUGCAUUGUGGAAUACAUGCUAGGUACAUAUUAGCAAUGUGAGAUCAUGCUAGAGAGCAUGCGAAUUAACCUAUUAUUGAUAGGGUAAGCUAAUGUCAUAAAGAGGCAUUGGGCUUGAAAUUUGUAAGGUACAGAACUUCUUAAAUUCUGAAGUUACGGUAGGAUGUAAUAGGUUUUACUCUUUGUUCGAUAGAAUGAGAAAAAGUACACGUUGCAAAGUUAUACUGUUAUGGCGCAACUGAGUAGUCUAAUGUUGUUCCGGUUUUGAUUCUUGUGAACGUUGAAAAUUCGUUCCAAAUUUACACUCUCGGGGCAUAAUAGAACUAUAUAAUUAGGUUUUACUCUUUGUUCGAUAGAAUGAGAAAAAGUACUCGUUUCAAAGUUAUACUGUUAGGGCGCAACAGAGUAGUCUAAUGUUGUUCUGGUUUUCGUUCUUGUGAACGUUGACAUCGAUUCGUUCCAAAUUUACACUCUAGGGGCAUAAUAGAACUAUAUAAUUAGGUUUUACCCUUUGUUCAAUAGAAUGAGAAAAAGUACUCGUUGCAAAGUUAUACUGUUUGGGCGCAACUGAGUAGUCUAAUUUUGUUCCUGUUUUUGUUUUUGUGAACGUUGACAUCGAUUCGUUCCAAAUUUACACUCUCGGGGCAUAAUAGAACAAUAUAAUUAGGUUUUACUCUUUGUUCGAUAGAAUGAGAAAAAGUACUUGUUGCAAAGUUAUACUGUUAAGGCGCAACUGAGUAGUCUAAUGUUGUUCCGAUUUUGGUUCUUGUGAAUGUUGACAUUGAUUCGUUCAAAAUUUACACUCUCGAGGUAUAAUAAAAUAAUAUAAUUAGGUUUUACUCUUUAUUCGAUAGAAUGAGAAAAAGUACUCGUCGCAAAGUUAUACUGUUAGGGGGCAACUGAGUAGUCUACUGUUGUUCCGAUUUUGGUUCUUGUGAACGUUGACAUCGAUUCGUUCCAAAUUUACACUCUCGAGGUAUAAUAGACCAAUAUAAUUAGGUUUUCUCUUUGUUCGAUAGAAUGAGAAAAAGUACUCGUUGCAAAGUUAUAUUGUUAGGGCGCAACUGAGUAGUCUAAUAUUGUUCCGAUUUUGGGGACCGUCCUCUGGCAAGGACCGGUUCCGAACGUUGAAUAUCCCCUUUGCCAGUUUGUGCAGCUUUACGUGGACGGCUCAAAGGGGUCGCUCGCCCGACAAAGGUGACCACCGGUUGGUCCCUCACUGCGAAAAAUACCCAGGGAGGCUGUUUCAAGAAGUGAAAAGUGAGGGUUUUAUGUUGCAUCAAGUGGGUUAUGAGAAGAGGCUAGGCUUGUCCGCCUCUCAUCGCAUCACUUACACUUCAGUGGAUGCCCUUCUUCACGUCGUGAUGUCGUAGUCCUCCAUACUCACGACCUCUGAUGUCUACUCAUCUUCUGGCUCUCUGAAAGGUUAUAACAAAAAAGCAUCAUAUCGGAGGAAAAGAGGAGAAGUAGCAGAAGGCUAGUAGAAUGAUAGAAGGAGACGAGAUAGAGACUGAAAAAGAGCGAGAAAGAGAGGUAUUGACAACUAAGACAGGAAUGAGAAGCAUAUCACGCGAGUUACACUAUUCAUCAUCUCCUCUUGCCCAAAGCUUGGAGCUUGGUAAUGAUGUAAACCUCAACCUUUGAUGUGGUUUCAAUAGGCAGAGGUAGAAGUUUUAUAAUACGAAUAAGCGCGGUUCAAGACUGAACCUUAUUGAGCUGCAUAACUGCCAGGUCGAGAUAUGUUUCGACUCGAAAUCGAAGCUCGCAGCCGGCAGAGUAGUCGUAUCUCAUCAAUGGCCGCAUGAUGCGUGCAUUGUGCUUUUCGAUAGUCUUUCGAGAAUAGGUUGGCCAGAGCAUACUUGAACUGGGCUAUUUAAUUCAAAUUAAUUUCGGCACACCUAAAUUCUAAGGUCCCGAAGUCGUAGGCACAGACGGUGUGUCGCAUUACCGUCGAGUAGCAGUCGAAGUUAUCGCCAAGAGAGACCUUCGGAGCUUCGUGUCCAUGCCUAGAAGGCUAACGGCGUCGAGACGGUUCUAAGGCACGACACAUCGCAAUCGAAGAGCUUCCACAGAAGUCCACCCACCGAGGGGUGGAGCAUCACAGUAAAACCCACCAAAAGUCCUCACCAGGGCGAGAGUGGCGCUACACGAGCUAACCAGAAGGGUGCGGGCGAUCAACAUGGUCGGACUUCACUUUCAUGCUUUAGAUGUCUGAUGUCAUCAUCGAAAGACUUAACUAGUACGAGUUUAUUACAUAUUGUGAUAUAGUCAAUUACUUGACGGAAUUGUCUUAACCAUGGAUUAUCGCUGCAUAUCCUUGCAUGCUAAGGAUGGUAUAGCUCUGCGUUUGUUCAUCAUCGUCAAGACUGAUUUAGUAAAACAUGCAGAGGUGAGCGAUCGUUUGAGAACAGACACCCAAUGAAAAGUCGCCCUAGUCAACUAACGAUAAGAAUUAUUGUUUCAGUAGAUGAUAUAUGAACCUAGUGAUACCUUGGAACACAGUUGUAUUCAAGAACUCUGUCAAGAGAACGAGUGGCCAUCUAGUUAACCUAAACAUGAACGAGUGCAUUAAGUAGCCGGUAGGCAGCGCAAAACCUAAGAAAACUGCCUGCAGCUUGUCGAGAGACUACAUCAGUAUCAGAUAGUGAUGGAUCAGCGCCACCAAUCAAGUUGCUACUACACCGAGGCUAACCUCUCGGUGCCACGAAAUUCCGCCGAGUAUAGAUAUGCCCCCUGUUGAUCAGGGCGAUAUUACGAGAUUAUCAUGACAGAGAUUGAAUCGAGCUCACUUAGCUGCUGUCUUACACCUGUAGGACAGUAAGAAUCCUCGCACCUUCCUUACGAUGCUUUAAGUCGUUACACAACUCCCGGAGUGCUUCUUCGGCGAAGAUAUCUCGCAAGAUACUGGCGGGCCAGUGUAUGCCCUGGAGCCAGUGUAGUGUCCGCUCUCGGAAGAUAGGAUCCGGUCUCCGGGUAAGUGAUAUAGCUAGCCCACUCAUCCCCUAUGCAAGCAUCUUAGACGACGUAGAGGUACACGUAUCAGAUGUCACAAUGAAAACCCGACGGCGAGCGAAACUUGCGUUCGCCGAGAGAUACGAAACUAGAUAUUCCACAGAAUAUAGCCCGAAGAUCCUGUUCAAUCAUGUCCAUGAUGCUGACUCACACUUAGCAUUGUGUUUGAUGGAAGCAUGUAGUCCCGAAAGGCAUCACCGAGACAGCCUAGCAUUCUUACUAUGAGUUGUGCGAAGACAUUCGUAGUGGCAUCCUGAAUUAUGAGGCAUUGUAGUACCUGUGGCGAAUCUAGUUUCUAUGGACCAUCAAUUCACUCUCAGCCCGGAUCUUAAGCUGAAUGGUACCGCUUUCAGUUAAUAUAAUCUAUCUAUCUGCAUAUCUAUCUGUAGCGCGGGGCUAAGACGCUAGUGGGAGGAUCCGAUGCAAUGAGAUCUUCGGAGCAGAUACACGCCAGAACCCACUGGGAAACUAUUCGUAGUUCUCACUCGCACAGAGUACUAUCGCUGCACUGAGGCUGGCUUCCAAAGAAAGGAGACCGUGUUCAAUCUGGGCAGGGGAUACCCCUGUUUCUUACACUGUGACUUUGUUGAGGCGGCUCGAAUCGCCGGAAGGCGUAAGCGCCCUACGGGUUGACAGUGGUAAUCCAGACGAAGAGGGUUUUUCACUUAUUUAAAUAUCAAAUUUUUUCUUGACUUAGCGCCUUAUUUAGAAGACAGGGCAGCACCUCUAGUCGUCUAGGGAGAUCACACCUGGCUCUAUGACCUCCUUUAUCACCCUACCUCAGCUGGCGCCUUCCCUUUACUUCAGCUCCCAGGCAAAGCAAUAUAAGAUUAGUCAUAGCCAUCGAGGAUCGAUGGUGGUUGCCAGACACAGUGAUCUCAUACUGCGGUCAGCACGAGGUCAUCCUGUUAUCUGGUAGUCUAGAGAGUUGUAGGUACGAAUUCACAGACUACAUGGUCAUAUCCAAUGAGUGGUCGCAUUCUUAAUCUUAUGUCUAAUAUACACGGCCGGGCAUUCAACAUUAUUGCCCUAGUAAAGAGAUAUCGCAGCGAAAUAGAGGCUCUAACAUGCUCGGUUAAUAAAUAUAUUAUAAGAAGUUAGCUCGGCAAAAUAGGAUCACCCAUCCUCCGCUCGCAUCGAUAGUAAUGUUGCCUAGUGAAAAACAGUCCAUUAGGUUCGAAUUUUAUUACUACUCAGAUCAGGCUAGAAAAACCCGAUCAUCGUUGUACCAAGAAGUAAAGCGGCGGUGAGUACCAUACGAGCAUAAGUGUAUGCUCAGCUGACAGGCGAGUAAGCAUCAUCCUGCUAGAGGUCGUCUCGAUCUCGAAGUGUACACAUCGAGUGUUUUGCGAGGAAAGACCAAGCUCACAUGCAAAUGAAUGCGAAAUAAAGAGUGGCGAUGCUCUUCACGUACUCGAAAAUGAGCAAUUCUAGCAUCAGAUGAAAUGUUGAAGGUAUGGACAAUACCUCGCAAGACAGUCGCCCACACCAGUGCCCUGCGUGCUGAGUCAGGGCGAAGACCUCUCUGCGCAUCUCCAGAUGCGCUGCCGUGCCCCUCAGUUUGCGCCUCCGUCCCGCGUAAUUGUGGUUGUUAAUUGUUAUGUACCCAGUUCAACGUUGUUCCUUGGAACCUUGUUGCUCACUAAUCUAUGGUUGAGCCUUGGCGACAGAGGAGGCUGUCCGUUCGGCGUCGGUCCGCCCUUCGAGUAGGGGGACCCCGGAGCCACGAAGCAGCUGCAGCUGGGGCUCCGCGGCUUCUGCGGGCGUGCAGGCAUGGGAGGAGACAGGGACUCCCCCUGAGACAUCCGCCACCUCCUAGGACACUGGCUUGCAGGGGAGCCACCUCGCACUGGCCACGAACGGAAACAGUGUCCUCCUCUGCGACCAUUCGCCAUCAACCGCUGAGCUUUGCCGGCAGAUGCACACAACGGUGGAUCGCCCCUCUGCUGAUUGCUCGAGGGCGCACUCUUUGCUCCCUGCUAGAGUGCGCGGAUGCUUUGGCGACCGGUUACUAUUGGAAAGGAGCCGCCGCACGUCUUAGAAUGGGAACGCUUUCUGUUCCCCAUCGCCUCCGAGGCCCUUUGCAGCUCGGACUCUCGUAGACUCGCUCUGGAUGACGAGGCUAUCGUCGCAAGCACUCCGUCAAAACACGUCAUCGUGCCAUGAGAAGCCCAGCAGCAUCCUGAUGUGGGUCUCGAAGCCCUCGCGAAGACUCUCGCCUUGUGCGCUCGUCAAAGUAGGCUCGAAUAGAGAGCAAGGGAUCAGCCUCCACCAUGGCGGAAGACGAAGUCCUGCUCGUAGCUUCAGCUACGGUACGUUCCCACUGCUGAAGAUGUUCUAAAGCUCCGCGCUCCGGCCCAGCCUCCAAAUUUUUGAGUUGUCCCGAAAGAAUUGCUUGGAUUGGAGAUCUCCGGAACUCCCCCCAGGGUUGGGAAAGGACGGCCCAGCUGUGAGCGAGGUAGAUGUCGGCAGCCACCAAAUAGAGCUGCGUCCGCCGGUCCGAGAAAGUGUGCGGCCAAGGACGCGGUACCUGGCUCAUCCGAUGAGUAUAAGUCGCUCUAAAGCUAGGUACUCUCACAAUGUCGGUCAGGUUCGAUGAGCAGGUCGCGUCGAUAGAAACUCCUAGUUCUCUUCCUUCUUACGCUCCACGCGUAUUCUUGCGGGUCGAAUUCCCAUGAACUCAUCCAGCUUCGCACAUGCAUAGCGGGCGCCUCUGCUGCGGGGUAAUUUGCAUCCUCAGCUGGAACCUCUGGUGGUCGUCCGUCGUCGUCGAGCUCAGCAAGCAGAUAAAGAUGGAACGGAGCCGAGGGCCGAGCUACCUAGUGCAGGCGCACCUGAGGAGGUGGUGGACUUCCUACGGAGACUCUAAGAGCAGGCAUGACCCAUUCCAGAACCGGCGGCGUCGGGGAAGGUAGUCGCUUAUAUGGGAACACAGCUCUAGGCGGUGUGCGGCUCGUAAGGACUAGCUGGCAUGAGUGCUGCGUCGGAAACCGCCGCCAUGUGGAAAGGAGUCGUCAUCCUGAAUCCCGUCCCGUCAUCACUGGAGGCUUUAGACCUCGAGUGGUGAGGCUCGAGCUGCUUCGAUAGCAGUGAGUAUCCGCCCUGCUGGAUGUGGAAUGUUUUUUUUUACUUUUCUGGUCGAUCUGCUCACCCUACUCCUGCCCUGCCCCACCUGCCUCUGCCGUUGCUCGGAGGCCUGCUCUUUUCCUAGGAGGCUAAUUGACUAAGAGCCCUCAUGGGCGACGGCGUCCAGAAAGUUUGAUGGAACUAGCUCCCACGAACUCACGGAAGAAGGUGGGUCCGCUACUCCACGAGCCAAUCUGUAACACAAAGCACGCGUCAGCACGAAUAAUCGAGACUCGACCAACUCCGCCUACGGACUUGAGGCCCACAGAAACUUGCACUCACGUGCGCUAUGAGUAUUUCGCCCGUAGUCCUGCCUAUGGGUCAACCUAACCAAUGGUUCAUUUCAUUGAUUUUUCGAAAACCAACCUGUGAAUGGUAGUCUCCCCCUGUAUUUUGAGCACGGUCGUCGUAGCACAAGUACAGAGGAGAUCUGUCCCGUCGUGAAGUGGAUUCCCUGUAAUUGUGCGAUCUGACAUACUCUGGGGUCAGGUAUUUGAGAAAAACAAAAACAAAUUAUUAGUCAUUUCGCGUCAUUUCCAAACGCGCAACAAGGACCUCAGGGGUGACAGAUUAAAGUGGUAUCAGAGCCGGUUCAUCAGCUGGACAUGUGUGGCGAGUCUCGCUAUGAGCCACGGGUCGGAUGACGGGCUAACGAGCGACGUCUUACAUCGCGCUGGUGAUCUUGGGCUGUGUGUGUUGUGGACUCGACAGACGUCAGGACUGCAGCUUAAACGGGGAGUCCUGGUGACACCGCCAUAUCAACAUCGAUGAAAUGGAAGGUGUUGUUUAUUCAGGAGUUGAUAAGCACGACUUAGACACUAGCUAAAUAAUAACUGGCUUAGAGCAUUUGGGGUCUGUGUUGGUAUCAUGGGCCAACGAGUUACUCUUAAUUAAGCUUAGUGAAGCUUGGGCCUGGUCGUUACAUUGGUAAUCAGUCAAGUCGAAUUCUUUCAGCUCAUCGAAGCUACUGCUAGACACCGUCGAUUUGUUCAUGAAGUUAUUGUCGUUUCGAACUGCGAAUGAUGACCUGUCGUUCGGAUUCAGUAAUACCGAUUUUGCUGGGAGUCCACCGGGUUAUACCCAAAGCUCUCCGAGCUUUGCCUCAAUGUAAAGCUUGUGAAGCGGUGUGCGAUUUUGGAGAAGGCUGCAACGAAUCGCAAGAUAAUACCUGCACUGCGCCAAACCCUAGAAAAACUCCGGACUUGGUCACCGAAAGUUUUGGUUCAAGACCAGCUACACCACGCGAGGCUAUCUUCUUCGGGUCCGACCGAAUCCACGCCGGAGUAGAAUAUGCCGUCUCUCAAGAAUGACCACGUAGCGACGUCACGGAGCAGAAAUCCACUUCUUGAGCUUAGCGUUACAACUGUGCCGCCGCUGAAGUAUCUGGCAAUUAGCUCUGUCGCGAGAUGAUCCUCAGGUGCUCCCUACAAUACUCCGCGAGUAGAUCAGGAGUCAUCAUGAAACCGACGACAGACACUGAUCCAGAUAAGCUCGGAAGCCCUGUCAUUCAUGUCGCAUAGAAGGCUGCGCGGAGGAUUGGUGAGCCCGAAAGGCACACCGUGAACUCGUAGUGGCCGUAACGAGUCCGGAAAGGCGGUCUUUCGGCACAUCCUCAGCCCGGAUCUUUAAGCUGAUGUAGCCUCCCGACCGCAAGAUCAUCCUUGGAGUUAGCACCGACGAUCCUUUGACAAGGCUGGUCAUGGUACGAAGCCUGAACUUUCCAGUACGCGCUUUCUCAUCUUUAGAGUGACGGUCAGGUCCAGAGCGACGUGCAUCCAGACUUCUUGUACGACAUGCUCUGGCGCAGAUCGCGUCUGGAUUACGGUGGAUCGGAUGGUCUCGGUAUUACCGUUGGUGGAGUUUCGCGACUAUAAUAAACAGCUUUCAGGGUCGACAUCGGGAUGGCACCAUACCGAGGCGUCUGUUAUGGGCGUUCGAUGUCGUUCUCAGCUAUCUGCUUGGCACGCAUGUCGAAGACCGCCGGUUAGUUAGGACUACUAGAUUUAGUAGGAGACGCCACAUGAGGCAAGAUCCGCAUUGGGCGAGAGAGCGGCUUCAGACCUGCAACAGAUAGAAUCCAAGGGGCGACUAGCGCGGCCCAGGCGGAGGCCGGAACCUAGAGUUUCAGUCGUGAGUCAUGUGCUGCUCAAGUGUCGCCUUCCAGGAUCAAUACGGUUUGUUUGCGGAACAAGCUUAUCGCGCUGGUUUCGGUGGGACCCGUUCUGAGAUCCUACGAGCUGCGUUGGUCCGGUGGGCUUACCAGAUUGCUCUCAUACCGCAGUCUCGCCCGAGUGCAGCAACGUUUUUUCACGUGUCCCAUGCUUCGGAUACCACAUCCCGAUCCGUCCCCACAUCAUUCAGUCGACACGCAUUCAGCUAUGCGGGAGGAUCUCGAGCUAUGCAGUGAGGCUCCCGUUGCACGAUCCUGGUCACGUGAGGUGAACGCAGUUGCCGGAAUAGGAGCAUAUCCGUAUUCAAGGUCCAGUGGAGGAGAAGCGCGACGAGAGGGCUGCGCCUGAGGCUACUGGGAGCUUGAAUGCGUCAUGGCGGUCGAUCAUUAUCCACAGUUAUUUUGCGAGGGACGUCCUUGUNNNNNNNNNNNNNNNNNNNNNNNNNACUAAUUAUAUAGUUCUAUUAUGCCGCCGGCGCAAUUGUUAUAUAUUUGGAACGAUCUUAAAUUUACAAGAACCAAAUCGGAACAACAAUUAGACUACUAAGUUGCGCACCUAACAUAUUAACUUUUGCAACGAGCACUUAUUUCUCAUUCUACAAACAAAGAGUAAAACCAUUAUAUUGCUUAUUAUGCCUCGAGACAGUGUAAAUUUGGAACGAAUCAGAAACUUGUCAACGUUCACAAGACAACAAACAUGGACGAAAAUUAGCACUACUCAGUUUGCGCGCAACAGUAUAACUUUUGAACGAGUAUUUUUCUUCAUUGAUCAAUAGAACAAAGAGUUAAAACCUAAGUAUAUUAUUUUUUAUACCUCCAUUCGUGCUAAAUCGUAGAACGAGGUCAAUGUCAACGUUCACAAGACCAAAAUCGGAACACAUAGACUACUCAGUUGGCACCAACAGAUAUGAACUUAUGCACACGAAUACUUUUUUCUAAUUCUAUCAACAAAGAAGUAAACCCCAUAUUAUAUUGUAUCUUAUGCCCCAGAGUGUAAAUUUGGAACGUAACCAGAUGGCAAGGUUCACGUAAGAACAAAAAACAGGAACAAAAUUAGAUACUAGUUGCGGCCAAAAAGUCUAACUUUGCAACGAGUAUUUUUUCUCAUUUCUAUUAUCAGAAAGAGGUAAAACCUAAUUAUAUAGUUCUAAUUUGCCUGGAGUGUAAACUUGGAACGAAUCAGAUUCGUCAACGUGAUUAAGAAGAAAAACCAGAAAACACAUUACACUACUCUGGUUUGCAGCACUAACAGUAUAACUGCGACGUAGUACUUUUGUCUCUUUCUAUCGAACAAAAAGUGAAACCUAAUUAUCAUUCUAUUAUGCCCGGGCGAGUGUAAAUUGUGGAAGAUCUUCAACGUUCACAAAAGAACCAAAUCGGAACAACAUGAGCACUACUCAUUGCGACCUAACGUUAUAACUUUGCAACGAGUACUUUUCUGAUUUCUAUCAACAAAGAGAUAAAACCUUUAAUUAUAUCGAUAUCUAUAGUCUCGAGAGUGUAAAUUGGACGAUAUCAGAGUCAAGUUCAGAAAGAAUCAAAGAUUCGGCGAAGAACAUUAGAUACUCAGUUUUGGCCCUAACAGUUAUACUUAAUGCAACGAUCUUUUUCUACGUUCUAUCAAACAAAGAGUAAAAUACUAAUUAUAUUAUUUAUUAUACGCUCGAGAGUGUGAAUUUGGACGAAGGUCAUAUCAACGUUCACAAGAACCAGCCGGGAGACCGGUCCUUGUCCGAGAGACCGGUUCCCGAGAGCAAUACUUUCGGGACUUAGCCAAAUUUCGGCUUCUCUCGCUGGGCCAACGUUCGGGAACCGGUCCCUGCCUGCUAGGGACAGGUCUCAUCAGAGACCCCCGCAGCCCAGCCUGAUGGGACCGGUCCCUCCCUGCCAGGGACCGGUCCCCGAGAGCAUUUCUUCUCCAGUGCAGCUUUUGCACGGGUGCUCUCGCGGACACCUCCUCAAUGCACCUUAUGCAUUGUGAUCACCUUCGGACUUUCCGAAGCUUGCACGCACGACAACCAGUCGAUCUUUGACGAAGUCUAAUCCUCGAGUUUCGAGAAUUCACUUCCCUUACACUCUCCCCACUUAAAAGAGUUUCGUCCUCGAAACGAACUCAACAAUAUUAAAUUCAUCCAGAAUACUCAUACCUCGGUGGCUCACUCAAACAAGUGAGGAUGAUUCGCUCUCAUCUCCUCCUCGAGCUCCCAGGUGGCUUCGCGGUCAGCAUGAUUGCUCCACUCUCAGGGCAUAAUAGAAUAAUAUAAUUAGGUUUUACUCUUUGUUCGAUAGAAUGAGAAAAAGUACUCGUUGCAAAGUUAUACUGUUUGGGCGCAACAGAGUAGUCUAUUGUUGUUCCGGUUUUCGUUAUUGUGAACGUCGACAUCGAUUCGUUCCAAAUUUACACUCUCGGAGUAUAAUAGAACUAUAUAAUUUGGUUUUACUCUUUAUUCAAUAGAAUGAGAAAAAGUACUCGUUGCAAAGUUAUACUGUUUGGGCGCAACUCAGUGGUCUAAUUUUGUUCCGGUUUUUGUUCUUGUGAACGUUGACAUCGAUUCGUUCCAAAUUUAUACUCUCGGGGCAUAAUAGCACAAUAUAAUUAGGUUUUACUCUUUGUUCGAUAGAAUGAGAAAAAGUACUCGUUGCAAAGUUAUACUGUUAGGGUGCUACUGAAUAGUUGAAUGUUGUUCCAAUUUUGAUUCAUGUGAACGUUGACAUCGAUUCGUUCCAAAUUUACACUCUCGGGGCAUAAUAAAAUAAUAUAAUUAGGGUUUACUCUUUGCCCGAUAGAAUGAGAAAAAGUACUCGUUGCAAAGUUAUACUGUUAGUGUGCAACUGAGUAGUCUAAUAUUGUUCCGGUUUUUGUUCUUCAGAUCGUUGACAACGAUUCGUUCCAAAUUUACACUCUCAGGGCAUAAUAGAACAAUAUAAUUAGGUUUUACUCUUUGUUCGAUAGAAUGAGAAAAAGUACUCGUUGCAAAGUUAAACUGUUU
rnacentral:lncRNA from 1 species